UGAAGAUUACAGAUAUUCCUUGCAGUGUUAUUGUAUUUGUCCCAAUAAGCAGCACUCCUGCCCCUGUAAGUUCUUUUCCACUCGUACAACUUACGGUUCAUUAACCCUCUGAUAAGACGGAUAACUCUAACUGGAAUAAAUGAUUAUUAUUUAUAAAGUAGUUAAGUGAAAGGGUCAUUUCUGCCAUAUUUUGCCUCACAAGCUGAACUCAGAAGUGUGUAAAUCUAAUCAUAAAUAAUUUUUCUUUUGGAUAAUCAUUAGCAUUAAAAUAAAAUUAAUAAUGAGUAAUCAGAGGGUGCUGAACCUUAAACAUAUCUAAAAAAAUCCUUAAUUAAGGGAGAUGUAGCCUAUGCCUACAAUGAUUAAUUUUCCAGGUUUAUGACAAUUUUCUGAGAGAAAAUAGAAAAUAAAAUGAAACAAACAAACAAAUGGUACAAUUCUAUAUGGAGAAAAAAAUUAAAUGCAAAUCAAUUUGCAGAAGAUGAAACAUUUAUACAUGAGAGUGCUUUUUUUUUUAUCAAGGUUUAGAGUUACCCUUUACAUCUUAUUAUUUACAGCCCUUGAUGCCUUUGGCAUAUAGAACAGUAUAGAGUUGCCCACUUGAUGAUAUAUCAAAUUUUAGGGUUAUCCCCCUUAGUUAUCUAUCAAAUUUUGGAGUUUAUCAUAGAGUUCAAAAUACAGUAAUUCCCUUUAUUAAUCAAUCAAAUUUUAGAGUUAUCCCCCUUAGCUGGGUCUCCCCUCCUUACUUUCAAUGAACCCCAUCCAAUAUUUUUAUAAGUGAAUAAUGCAUAAAAUGUAUAUCAUUAUUGACUUGGUUCAAGGGCAACAUAUUUUGUUGGACCCAAGAACCAAACUGUUUGCCUGAGGCCCUUAGGCCAAAGGCAAACAGUUUAGUUGGAGGGUGUACAAAACGCAUAUUGUCUGAGAACACAGUCAAUAAAUGUUUUGUUAUACCUUUUAUUUUAUUUUUGUUGACAUCCAUUUAUCUUGUGCUGGCUUCUGUGAUGUAAAAUUUCCUUUAACAGCACUGCAGAGUUUAAACUUGGUCAAUUACAUGUACGUCACUGUCGAACCCACAAUGAAUUCAAAUGAGAUUUAGCUGAUCCCACCCAUUGUGUGACUUAUUAAGCAGUCCAAUAUCUCAUCAACAGGUCCAAUAACUCACUCUGUGGUCAAACAUGGAUUUUGUAUGACUGCACAGUAAAACGUUGGAAAUGUUAGACUUUUUUUUUUAAGCAUAGAUUUAUAAAGAAACAAUUUUUUAAAGGUAUAACAAUAUUAAUCAAUGACGGUUUAAAUCCCAUUCAUUUCAUGGCUGCUACUAUACCCUAGCAUAUCUUUCAGAGCAGGUUGUUUAAAGUGAUUUUUUUCAUAAAUUGGGAUGUAAUUAAAAAGUAAAUGAAUUAAGAUAAAUCCUAUGUGCAUGGAAUUAAACUGAUGUAUAAUGUAGCAUUCAUUUCCAAGCACUUUAUGGAAUUUAUAUUAAUUUUUGUAAACAUUUAGUGAAACCCAUGGAAAGUUAUUAAGUGCAUUAUCGUAAGAGAUGUGUUAAAAACUAUGAAAGUGUAAAAAGAAUUUCUGUGGAGACAAUUCAGUCAAAUGUUUCCUAUAAAAAGAUAUAUGUUGCCAUAGUUUCUUUUUGUAUUUUGUCAAGGUUAGGAUUUCAGUAAAACACUUUGCUAUGUAUGGAAAGCCGUAGGGUAACCCACACAUAAUAUUAUUAUUUUUUCCUAUAUAAAUAUACCAAAAAUAAUUUUCUCUUUCAAAAAUAAAAUAUGAAUUACUUAUUUUGACUUUAUUUCUCGUUUAUUGAUAAAACGGCCGAUUCCUGUUCUGUAAGUAAAGACUGUGGUGUAUCACUAAUCUACAUGUGUAUGUUUUACGUUUUCCUCUGAGUGACUUUUGCCCGUAUUAUACCUGUAAUUAGUAGUCACAUUGUAAAUGUGUCAAAUUUUUGUACAUGUGGAUUUUAGCAGUUUGUUAUGAUAAAUCGCUGAUGUUCAUAUGCUUGUCUUUUUGCCUGUGUGCUAAGGGGAAGGCUUUUGAUGUAUCCAAAGCUAUCUACACAGUGAUAUACAUGUACCUAUUUGAUUUUUUAAAAGUAUUUUAUCUUCUUUAUUCAAAAUUAAUUUCUGAAAAAAAUGGAGAUUAACUGUUUCAAAAUUCAGAAAAAGAUGGAAAUUGUUUGAAUAAAAUUUAUGCAGCUAA